rnacentral:lncRNA from 1 species
AAAGGAAAAAGGGACGACCCACCAUUUCCGUCUUCUUCUAAAAAGAGGUAAGGCACUGAACCUAAAAAAUAAAAAUAAAAAGAGAUAAAGGAUAUAUUCCUUUUCUGCUGUUCUUCUUCCUCAUCAUCAAUCACUAAUUUUUCUUCUAUUAAAACCAUAUAAAAAGACUCCUUGAAGGGAAUGAAAAAGGAAAAUUUACUGAAAAUCAGCUGUGAAACCAACGAAAAAUCAGCUACAAAACCAGCUGAAAAUGUCUCAAACUAGCCCAAAAACGCAGCUAUAAAACAGUUCCAGAAUCCUGCCUUAAUUCCGUUGAAGUCUUGAGCUCGAGGUCGUGGCCGACGAGGUUCCGUUCAUGGUACGUUGGUUCCGCAUUCCAUUCAUUUCAUGGAAAAUCUGAUGUAACCAAGUUCUUGUUUAAUACAAAGGAACCAAUUAUUAAGACAAUGAAGAUGGAAACCGUGCUCUCUAUUUUGAUAAAGUAACGAAGCUAGCGAAAUUAGCUUAGGAGAAAAUCCACCACCAUGAACUCAUCUUCUCCAGCCAUAAAAUAGUCAUGAAAAUACCAUAAAAGGGAGGCAAUCAGUUUAUGAGCUUCGCUCGUUCCUGUUCGAGGUUGCCAUUUGAGUUUCGAGGUUGCCGGCGAGUCCUCUGUUCCCGGUCCGUAUUUACUCGAGAUGUAUCACUGAGUUUUCAUAUCCAUACUCUCAUAUAUAAAAGGUCUGUUUUCUUAAUUUUCACUGUUCUUUCACCUUGUUACAGGAAAGUCUUUAGACUGCUUUGAUUUUUUUUCUUCUUUAUUUUACUGUCUUUUCUUAUUGAUUCUAUUAUCUUGCUACAGUAGAGUAUCAUGUUAAAGUGAGUAAGUAAAAUAGAUUAUCAUGUUAAAAGUAUAAAUAGUGAUUAGUUUAUGGCAAAUAAGCGGUACGUCCACUUUGGACGUUGGACAGUUAAAGGAAUAUGUAAAUAAUUAAUUCUUUAUUGUUAGUGGAAAGGAAUUGAGUUAUCGCUUGACCAAAAGACACAUUUUAAAUCACGUUUAACAUUUCUUAAAACUUGAUUAAAAGAGGUAAAUACUUUUUUAAAAUUGUACCAUAAAUCAUAAUAUGUAUUAAAAUUAGAUAUUUAGUCACUUACAAUAGUUUAAGUGACCGUGCUAGAACCACGGGAUUUGGGGGUGCCUAACACCUUCCCUCGGGUCAACAUAAUUCCUUACUUAGAAUUUCUGGUUCGCAGACUUCAUUUGGAAAGUCAAAAAUUUCCUCGGUUCGAGAUUCAAGAUAAACCGGUGACUUGGGAAACCAAAAGCCAAACCUUUCCCAAGUGGCGACUCUAAAUAAAUAAAUAAUACCGAUCCGAUUAAUGUUACUUAAAUUGGAAAAAGUCCCCUGAUACACGAUCCUUCGGGAUAGGCGUAAAAAGGAGGUGUGACAACGACCCAAAGAGUCAUCACCUAUUUUCUCAUGCAUUUUGUGUCUCCGAGGCCUUGAAAUCCUCAUUAAGGGUUGCCUCGAUUUGCGUGCACAGUCCAGACGUGUAGCCGGAAAACAUAAAGAUGAAUUAUGUGAGAAAAAUAAUAAAUUUCUAUAUUAAGAUUAUUAAAUUUGACUUCGGUCAGUAUUUUGUGUAAGUAGAACCAGACCCGUGAUUUGACAUUUCCGGAGGGUUCGUAGGAAAAUAUGGGACUUGAGUGUAUCCCCGGAAUUGAAUUUUGAGCUCCCAAGCCCGAGAAAUAAUUUUUUGUGUGAAAUUAUUUUUUGGAAUUAAUUAAGGAAAAUAGAAAGGAAAUGUGAUUAGAAGAAUAUGGUAUCGGUCCUGAAUUUUGGUUCCGGCUUCCGGUACAAAUUUUAUAUAUGAUUUAAGCAGUUUCUGCUAAGGUUGGUUGAAAAUGGACGUCAUUUGACGUAUUACGACUUGAUCGCAAGAGUAUGUCGGUAGGAUAUUAUUGAGGUUGUGUGCAUGUUUGGUUUGGAGGCCGACGGCUCGGGUGAGUUUUGGAUACGUGUCGGAGUGCUUUUCCAACCUUGAAAACUUGCAGCCAUAUGUAACCUGCAGGCUUCGCAAAAUGCGAAGGGUCAGCUCACAAAUGCGAGAAAUGUGCCAGUCCUAAGGUUAUCGGAAAUGCGAUAUAGAACCUCGCAUAUGCUAAGGCCAGGUUUCGCAAAUACGACCUUAUGGUUCGCAAAUGCGAACAUCCCAAUUUCCCCCAUUGUUCGCAAAUAAGAACAUGUUUCUCGCAAUUCCCAUGCCUGCAGUGUUCUCAAUUCCGAACCCUAUUUCGCAAUUUCCAUAUCUGCAGCCCAGCAAAUUUUAUACUUAGUCGAUUUUCCACUGUUUUUCACCAUUCUUUCAAGACCCAAACCCCAUAGAUGAUUUUUCAAGGACAAAACUUCUUCCAAAACAUUUAUAAGUCGAUUUUUACUUAAUUCAUUCAAUCAUUUACAUCAUUUAACAUGUUUUCCACUUAAAAUCAAUGAAUUUCAUGGGUGAAAUUAGGGGUUUGGGGGUAAAACCUAGGUUUUUCAAAAAUUAGGGAUUUGAACCUAAAUUUGAGGUCCGAUUUCUAAGCUAAUCAUAGAUAUGGAUUCAUGGGGGAAUGGGUAACCGAGUUUUGGUUCGAACCUCGGAUUUUGACCACGUGGGUCCGGGAUAUUUUUGGAAUUUUUGGGCAAAAUUUUGGGAAAUUCAUUUUUAUGUAUUCAAAUUGAUUCAUUUAACAUUUGUUGAUGUAUUGAAGUGUUUUGUGACUAGAUUCGAGCAGUUUUGUGGUGGAAUCGAGUGGUAAAGCUAUACUUGAGGCUUGAGUUAAGUUUGAAGCAUUAAGGUAAGUGUCCGGCCAAAUUUUAGCUUGAGGGAUGAAGAGUUGAGUCUUAUUUGCUAUUUAUUUAUGUGGAGUACCGCGUAUAGGCAUGAUGACGAGUAUCUAUAUGUCGGUAUCUAGCAUGACCGUGAGUCUAUGAAUUGUAAAUAUUUGAAUUAUGAUGUAUAUCUCUUGCCUUAGAGAUGAAUUCUAGUUGUUGUGCAACAUUUGUGGAAAGAAUUAUGAAUUUGAACGAAGAAGAGUGUUGGCUCAAGUUAUUUUGAUAAAUUGAGAAGUUUAUGAAUUAUUGUGCUCAUUGGAGUAUUUGCUCAUGUUGUUCCAUGAAAUGAGGAAGAAUAUGAAUUGUUGUUCCCUUUGGAGCACGCGCUCAAGUGAUAAUGAAAGUGAUGACUACAAAAGGAAAGAAAGAGGAAAUAUCAUUAAUUGUACUCUUGCCAGGUUAUUUUCGUAUAUUGAUUAUCUCCCUUGCCGGGAUAUAAAAUUUAUUGUUGUUGUUCCCUUGUCGGGAUUUGACUGUUUACUUGUGUUCCCUUGCCGGGAUUUCUAUUCCCUCACCCUAUAUGUUUGUGAUUGUUGAUUGGGCGAGCAAGAGUGUUAAUCCAGGAAGGGUCAUUCCAUGCCAUGAUAUGAAUGUUAAUGCACGAAGGAUCAUCCUGUGCAAUGAUAUGAGUGUUAAUGCACGAAGGAUCAUUCCGUGCCAUCAUUAUGCGGGGUAAAUCACGAAAGGUGAUGCUUUGUACUUUAUACGAUUUAUUUGGUAAGAACGAGAGUAAAAGCAAGAAGGACAAUGCCGUGCAACUGUUGAUUUCAUAUUCUUAUUGAUAUUGUAGUUGUACAGUUUCAUUCCGUAUUUAGUGAUUCUAAAUCUGGACUGUUACAGUCUCUACAGCAUGCUCCCCUCCUUCUUUGACUGGUUAAUUUUUGUAGUUAUAUUUUGUUGCAUAGAUAUAUAUUGAACUGCACAAGUUUGAUUGGUAGUCCAGUCCUAGCCUUGUCACUACUUCGCCGCGGUUAGGCCACACACUUACCAGCACAUGGGGUCGAUUGUGCUAAUUAUACACUUUGUGAUUUUUGAACAGAUCCGGGCUUUGGUCAGCAAGAUCAGUAGAUUGGGAGCCGGCCUUCAGUCCAGAGAGAGAUACAAAUCAAAGCAAAGAAUGCCUAAGUUCAUUCCCGCAACCAAACAAAGUGUCAUUAGCAUGAAAAACCAACCGGGCAAGUUCUAGAUGAUAGAAGUAAACACAAGAUUUAUUUGAACAACCACUAACACACAUGGCACAUAAANN